rnacentral:rRNA from 1 species
ACGAAACAGAGAUGUGAAGCGAAACUCAAAAAAGUAAGUCUCAGUUCGGAUUGAAGGCUGAAAUUCGCCUACAUGAAGCCGGAAUUGCUAGUAAUGGCAGGUCAGCAUACUGCCGUGAAUACGUUCCCGGGCCUUGUACACACCGCCCGUCACACCAUGAGAGUUGGGGAUACCCGAAGCCUGUGAGCCAACUGUAAAGAGGCAGCAGUCGAAGGUAGAAUCAAUGAUUGGGGUGAAGUCGUAACAAGGUACC